rnacentral:lncRNA from 1 species
GCCAGGUUUUUCUGGGAAAUGGCAAACCUCUCACUGCCCUUCCCAGAAAGGCCUUCCUCCUGCCAGGAGGCUGUUUAAUCAGAACCACAAACAAUCGUGAAUAAAGGGAAGGUAGUCAUAUUAAGCAGCACCUGUCCUGUAGGGAACGCAAUGAUUGCAGAGGAAAAACACAGAGUGAAGCCUGCUUGCAUCUCCCUGGGGUGUAGAGACUGACUUCCUCCCACAGCAUGAGAAAAUUAAUGCUGGGAGAUUUAAAAUGAAUUGCCCAAGAACACACAGUAUGACAUUGGCAGAGCUGUGGUUAGGAAGAAGGUUUACUCCUGGAACAAACAUUGUACCUGGGUCAAAUAUUGGUCCUCAGU